rnacentral:rRNA from 1 species
UACGUAGGGGGCAAGCGUUUGUCCGGAUUUAUUGGGCGUAAAGCGCUCGCAGGUGGUUCGAUGCGACGUGCGUGAAAGACCCCGGCUCAACUGGGGAGGGUCGUGCGAUACGGUCGAACUGGAGGCCAGUAGGGGGAUGCGGAAUUCCGGGUGUAGUGGUGGAAUGCGUAGAGAGUCCGGAGGAACACCAGCGGCGAAGGCGGCAUCCUGGACUGGUCCUGACACUCAUGAGCGAAAGCGUGGGGAGCGAGUCCGG